AUUGAACGCUGGCGGCAGGCCUAACACAUGCAAGUCGACCGAGUGGCGGACGGGUGUGUAAUGUCUGGGAAACUGCCUGAUGGAGGGGGAUAACUACUGGAAACGGUAGCUAAUACCGCAUACCCUCAGAUGCGCCCAGAUGGGCUUAGCUGGUUGGUGGGGUAACGGCUCACCAAGUAGACGAUCCCUAGCUGGUCUGAGAGGAUGACCAGGCAAACGGGAACUGAGACACGGUGCAGACGCCUACGGGCAGCGCCAGUGGGGAAGAAUGCAGAAUGGGCGAAAGCCUGAGGCAGGCAAGGCGGGUGGAUGAAGAAGGACUUCGGGUUGUAAAGUACUUUCAGCGUUGAGGCGUUACCCGUAUAAGAAGCACCGGCUAACUCCGUGCCAGCAGCCGCGGUAAUAC
rnacentral:rRNA from 1 species